GCCUGCUUGGCUCAGUCGGUAGAGCACCAGAUAUUAAUUAAGACGUCUGGUUCGACGUAGGUUCAACUCCUGCAGCACGGCU